CAAUUCUACACGGAAAGGCACCAUUCUCCAUGAUGCUCAUGGCUCCCAGUGCUCAGCCCUGUGUUUUCUAGGCAUACCUCGUUGGACUCCAUGGUUUCUGUUACUUGUGGGUUUCUUCCUGCAUUGCUUGAACUUGACUCAGUGCAUUUGCUGAGCAGGCCACCAACUGUUGGCAUGUGCAUACCAUCUAGUACCCAAAAUACUUCGAGAAAUGCUUCUUCUCUCCAGUUUGAAUCAUGUGAGUUGAGUAAGACCACAGAAGAAUCCGUUCCUGAAAUGUAGGACUUGGGAGAGAGAGCAUGAUGCCGGUCCUUUCUGGAGGCAGACAAUUCAAGUCACAUCCUUUGUUGGGUUUCUGAGUUUGAUUUUGACUGAAGAGUUCUUCCACGUUGCUGCUGCUUCCACCGCUGCUGCUGCUGCUGCUGCUGCUACCGCCGCUACCAGGAGAUAGAAGGAAAUUAUUUGUCACAAACCAGUAAGCUAUAGUCGUGUUUCAUUGGCUCCAAAUGAUGGUUUAAGUGCUUCAAAAAUAUGAAACCAACAUUUUAAAAACCAGACAAUUUCACAUCCACAAUUAGAAAAACC
rnacentral:lncRNA from 1 species